CAGCAGCCACGGUAAUACGUAGGUGGCAAGCGUUGUCCGGAAUUAUUGGGCGUAAAGGGCUCGCAGGCGGUUUCUUAAGUCUGAUGUGAAAGCCCCCGGCUCAACCGGGGAGGGUCAUUGGAAACUGGGAAACUUGAGUGCAGAAGAGGAGUGUGGAAUUCCACGUGUAGCGGUGAAAUGCGUAGAGAUGUGGAGGAACACCAGUGGCGAAGGCGACUCUCUGGUCUGUAACUGACGCUGAGGAGCGAAAGCGUGGGGAGCGAACAGGAUUAGAUACCCCAGUAGUCCCUGUCUCUUAUAC
rnacentral:rRNA from 1 species